GAUGAACGCUGGCGGCGUGCCUAAUACAUGCAAGUCGAGCGAACAGAUGAGGAGCUUGCUCCUCUGACGUUAGCGGCGGACGGGUGAGUAACACGUGGAUAACCUACCUAUAAGACUGGGAUAACUUCGGGAAACCGGAGCUAAUACCGGAUAAUAUAUUGAACCGAAUGGUUAAAUAGUGAAAGAGGGUUUUGCUGUCACUUAUAGAUGGAUCCGCGCCGCAUUAGCUAGUUGGUAAGGUAACGGCUUACCAAGGCAACGAUGCGUAGCCGACCUGAGAGGGUGAUCGGCCACACUGGAACUGAGACACGGUCCAGACUCCUACGGGAGGCAGCAGUAGGGAAUCUUCCGCAAUGGGCGAAAGCCUGACGGAGCAACGCCGCGUGAGUGAUGAAGGUCUUCGGAUCGUAAAACUCUGUUAUUAGGGAAGAACAAAUGUGUAAGUAACUAUGCACGUCUUGACGGUACCUAAUCAGAAAGCCACGGCUAACUACGUG
rnacentral:rRNA from 1 species